rnacentral:piRNA from 1 species
UUGCAGUUGAUGGACUCACGGCCC